rnacentral:rRNA from 1 species
UACGUAGGAGGCGAGCGUUGUCCGGAAUUACUGGGCGUAAAGAGCGCGUAGGCGGCGCAGUACGACCGCUGUGAAAGCCCCCGGCUCAACUGGGGAGGGUCAGCGGUAACGGCUGUGCUGUGAGUGCAGGAGAGGGAAGUGGAACUCCGGGAGUAGCGGUGAAAUGCGUAGAGACCCGGAGGAACACCAGUGGCGAAGGCGGCUUCCUGGCCUGCAACUGACGCUGUGGCGCGAAAGCUAGGGGAGCGAACGGG